rnacentral:rRNA from 1 species
CGAUUCCAGAGAGGGAGCCUGAGAAACGGCUACUACAUCUAAGGAAGGCAGCAGGCGCGCAAAUUACCCAAUCCUAAUACAGGGAGGUAGUGACAAGAAAUAACAAUACAGGACUUUACGGUUUUGUAAUUGGAAUGAGUUAAGUAUAAACCCCUUUACAAGUAUCAAUUGGAGGGCAAGUCUGGUGCCAGCAGCCGCGGUAAUUCCAGCUCCAAUAGCGUAUAUUAAAGUUGUUGCAGUUAAAAAGCUCGUAGUUGGAUUUCUGUUAAUACCUUAUAUAUAAUAUUUUUUUUUAAAUAUUAUUAUGUAAGAUUAACAUAAUUCAUAUUUUUUAAGACUGAAUUUUUAGUUUUGAUAAUAUGAAAUUUUACUUUGAGAAAAUUAGAGUGCUUAAAGCAGGCUUUUGCCUUGAAUACUCCAGCAUGGAAUAAUA